rnacentral:rRNA from 1 species
ACUCCUACGGGAGGCAGCAGUGGGGAAUCUUAGACAAUGGGCGCAAGCCUGAUCUAGCCAUGCCGCGUGAGCGAUGAAGGCCUUAGGGUUGUAAAGCUCUUUUGCGGGGGAAGAUAAUGACAGUACCCCAAGAAGAAGCUCCGGCUAACUCCGUGCCAGCAGCCGCGGUAAU